UAGCCGUAAACGAUACUCGCUAGGUGUCGGCCACGGUGCGACCGUUGUCGGUGCCGUAGGGAAGCCGUGAAGCGAGCCACCUGGGAAGUACGGCCGCAAGGCUGAAACUUAAAGGAAUUGGCGGGGGGAGCACAACAACGGGUGGAGCUUGCGGUUUAAUUGGAUUCAACGCCGGAAAUCUUACCGGGACCGACAGCAACAUGAAGGCCAAGCUGAAGACUUUGCCGGAUUAGCUGAGAGGAGGUGCAUGGCGUGUGACUGU
rnacentral:rRNA from 1 species